UAGUUGGUAAGGUAAAGGCUUACCAAGGCGACGACGGAUAGGGGGCCUGAGAGGGUGGACCCCCACACUGGAACUGAGACACGGUCCAGACUCCUACGGGAGGCAGCAGUGAGGAAUAUUGCUCAAUGGGCGCAAGCCUGAAGCAGCGACGCCGCGUGGGCGAUGAAGGUUUUCGGAUCGUAAAGCCCUUUUCUUGGUGACGAGGAAGGACGGUAGCCAAGGAAUAAGUGUCGGCUAACUACGUGCCAGCAGCCGCGGUAAAACGUAGGACGCAAGCGUUAUCCGGAAUUACUGGGCGUAAAGCGCGUGUAGGCGGAUAUUUAAGUCAGCCGUGAAAGCUCCCGGCUAAACUGGGAGAGGUCGGAUGAUACUGGGUAUCUUGAGGGUGAUAGAGGGAUGUAGAAUUCCGGGUGUAGUGGUGAAAUGCGCAGAUAUCCGGAGGAAUACCAGAGGCGAGGGCGGCAUCCUGGGUCACACCUGACGCUGAGACGCGAAAGCAUGGGUAGCGAACGGGAUUAGAAACCCCGGUAGUCCAUGCCGUAAACGAUGUACACUAGAUGUUCGAUUUGCUACGGUGAAUUGAGUGUCGAAGCUAACGCGCUAAGUGUACCGCCUGGGGAGUACGGUCGCAAGGCUAAAACUCAAAGGAAUUGACGGGGACCCGCACAAGCAGCGGAGCGUGUGGUUUAAUUCGAGGCUACGCGAAAAACCUUACCUGGGUUUGACAUCCUGUGAACGAAUCUGAAAAGAGGAGGUCCCUUCGGGGCACAGAGACAGGUGCUGCAUGGCUGUCGUCAGCUCGUGUCGUGAGAUGUUCGGUUAAGUCCGCAAACGAGCGCAACCCUCGGUGCUAGUUACAAGUGUCUAGCGCGACUGCCCU
rnacentral:rRNA from 1 species